CUGAGCGCGCACCCGGAGCCCGAGCCGGCGGCGGCGGCGGAGCGCGGGGCAGACUGUUUGCUAACCAUGGCAUCUGGAGAUGACAGUCCUAUCUUUGAAGAUGAUGAAAGCCCUCUUUAUAGCCUGGAAAAAAUGACAGAUCUUGUGGCUGUUUGGGACGUUGAUUUGAGUGAUGGAGUUCACAAGAUUGAAUUUGAGCAUGGGACCACAUCAGGCAAACGAGUAGUAUAUGUAGAUGGGAAGGAAGAGAUAAGAAAAGAAUGGAUGUUUAAGUUAGUAGGCAAAGAAACCUUCUGUGUUGGAGCUGCAAAGACAAAAGCAACCAUAAAUAUAGAUGCUGUAAGUGGCUUUGCUUAUGAAUAUACUCUGGAAAUCAAUGGGAAAAGCCUCAAGAAGUAUAUGGAGAGCAGAUCAAAAACUACCAAUACAUGGAUAUUGAACUUGGAUGGUGAAGACUUUAGAGUUGUGUUGGAAAAGGACACUAUGGAUGUGUGGUGCAAUGGUAAAACAAUGGAGACAGCAACAGUUCCUGGGACAGCAAGAGCUUGGAAAUGACUUGUGCUCCAAGCUGGCACAACCUCACAUUCUACCUUGCCACUCCUGGGCUGGCUCUUACCCUACAGAGUCCUCACAUUAAAAAGGUGAGUUUGUAGAUGACGGCACGGAAACACACUUCAAUGUUGGGAACCAUGACUGUUACAUAAAGGCUGUCAGCAGUGGGAAACGAAAAGAAGGAAUUAUUCAUACUCUUAUUGUGGAUAAUAAGGUUAUCCCAGAGAUUACCAAAUGACAUCCUGUUUAUGAAUUUCAAACUGAAGAAGUAAAAGACUUUUAAAUUA